CAAAGCAUUCGGACGAAGGCAUACGUAAAGGAUGAGGACAAACUCCUUUGUGAAUGUUGGAGGGACAUUGGACAAGACCCUAAGGUCGGCCCCGAGCAAAAGGCAUCAACCUUUUGGCUACGAGUUCAUCGUGAAUUUCACGAACGCAAGAAGUUCGCGCCGUAUAAGAUGGAGAGCAAGCGUGGGUGGGUGUCCCUCUCGAAGCGUGGAGAGUGA
rnacentral:rRNA from 1 species